AUGUCAGGGCCCAGGUGCUGGCCCAUUGGGUUUUAAUCCGAGCCUCAGUCACUGUGGUAUAUCUUCGGCAGCGGGACCCAGCUCACCGUCCAAAGUCAGCCCAAGUCUGCGCCCUCGGUCACUCUGUUCCCGCCCUCCUCUGAGGAGCUCAGCGCCAACAAGGCCACACUGGUGUGUCUCAUCAGUGACUUCUACCCCAGCGGGGUGACUGUGGCCUGGAAGGCAGAUGGCACCGUCGUCAACCAGGGCGUGGAGACCACCAAGCCCUCGAAACAGAGCAACAACAAGUACGCGGCCAGCAGCUACCUGAGCCUGACGGCCGACAAGUGGAAAGCUGCGAGCAGAUUCAGCUGCCAGGUCACGCACGAUGGGAGCACCGUGGAGAAGACAGUAUCGCCCUCAGAGUGUUAGGUUCCUGAGCCCCCCACUCUCGGGGGCAUUCUUCAUCCAGACACCCCUUUACUCAGAUCUCCACUAUACCCCGAGAAACCCCUGCCCAAGAGCAGCUCAGACUGGGCAGGUCUCACUACCUCCCCAUUUCUACUUCUCCUCAAUAAAGACCUAAUCAUUUAUCAUCUCA